rnacentral:rRNA from 1 species
AACGAACGCUGGCGGCAGGCUUAACACAUGCAAGUCGAGCGCCCCGCAAGGGGAGCGGCAGACGGGUGAGUAACGCGUGGGAAUCUACCCAUCUCUACGGAAUAACGCAUGGAAACGUGUGCUAAUACCGUAUACGUCCUUCGGGAGAAAGAUUUAUCGGAGAUGGAUGAGCCCGCGUUGGAUUAGCUAGAUGGUGGGGUAAAGGCCUACCAAGGCGACGAUCCAUAGCUGGUCUGAGAGGAUGAUCAGCCACACUGGGACUGAGACACGGCCCAGACUCCUACGGGAGGCAGCAGUGGGGAAUAUUGGACAAUGGGCGCAAGCCUGAUCCAGCCAUGCCGCGUGAGUGAUGAAGGCCCUAGGGUUGUAAAGCUCUUUCACCGGUGGAGAUAAUGACGGUAACCGGAGAAGAAGCCCCGGCUAACUUCGUGCCAGCAGCCGCAGUAAAAC